rnacentral:rRNA from 1 species
AGUCGUAACAAGGUCUCCGUAGGUGAACCUGCGGAGGGAUCAUUACACAAAUAUGAAGGCGGGCUGGAACCUCUCGGGGUUACAGCCUUGCUGAAUUAUUCACCCUUGUCUUUUGCGUACUUCUUGUUUCCUUGGUGGGUUCGCCCACCACUAGGACAAACAUAAACCUUUUGUAAUUGCAAUCAGCGUCAGUAACAAAUUAAUAAUUACAACUUUCAACAACGGAUCUCUUGGUUCUGGCAUCGAUGAAGAACGCAGCGAAAUGCGAUAAGUAGUGUGAAUUGCAGAAUUCAGUGAAUCAUCGAAUCUUUGAACGCACAUUGCGCCCUUUGGUAUUCCAAAGGGCAUGCCUGUUCGAGCGUCAUUUGUACCCUCAAGCUUUGCUUGGUGUUGGGCGUCUUGUCUCUAGCUUUGCUGGAGACUCGCCUUAAAGUAAUUGGCAGCCGGCCUACUGGUUUCGGAGCGCAGCACAAGUCGCACUCUCUAUCAGCAAAGGUCUAGCAUCCAUUAAGCCUUUUUUUUCAACUUUUGACCUCGGAUCAGGUAGAGAUACCCGCUGAACUUAAGCAUAUCAAUAGGAAGUAAAAGUCG